rnacentral:rRNA from 1 species
UGGGGAAUAUUGGACAAUGGGCGCAAGCCUGAUCCAGCCAUGCCGCGUGAGUGAUGAAGGCCUUAGGGUUGUAAAGCUCUUUCGCCAGGGACGAUAAUGACGGUACCUGGAUAAGAAGCCCCGGCUAACUUCGUGCCAGCAGCUGCGGUAAUACGACGGGGGCUAGCGUUGUUCGGAAUCACUGGGCGUAAAGCGCAUGCAGGCGGACUGAUAAGUCAGGGGUGAAAGCCCGAGGCUCAACCUCGGAACUGCCUUUGAUACUGUCAGACUUGAGUCCGGGAGAGGUGAGUGGAACUGCGGGUGUAGAGGUGAAAUUCGUAGAUAUUCGCAAGAACACCAGUGGCGAAGGCGGCUCACUGACCCGGUACUGACGCUGAGAUGCGAAAGCGUGGGGAGCAAACA